GGGAGAUCUUGCCUGGAGGUGGUGGAAAUGCGAGUGGAGAGGGUUCAAGGCUUCCUGCAGAGAAAGGUGUGCAAAUCCUGGCGGCGGGAGAGGGGCUGUUAACAGACCUCAGUUUUUACUUCAUUCUUUAAUCUCUCCUCUACUCGUAUAAGUGAUAUACCUGUGCUUUGUUUGAACUUUACGGCAGCCCUAUAAGGGAGGCAUUGUAAGAGACCUCUUUUUUUGUCUAUUUGCUCAGUGCUCUCUGCUGUCAGUGGGCUGUGCUCAGCCCUCUGCCAGCAUUAAAUUUCCUCCUUAAAACAACCCUGAGUGUAAUAGGCUGAAUAACGGCCCCCAAUAAUAUCAGACCCUAAUCCCUGCAACCUCUAAAUGUAACUUUAUAUGGAAACAGCGUCUUUGCAGGUUAAGUUAAGGAUUUUGAGAUGAAGAUUAUCCUGGAUUCGAAAGACGAACACUAAAUGGAAUCACAGUAUCCUCAUCAAAUCAUAAAAGGGAGGUUGAGAGAGACGAUUUAGCCACGGUGGCAGAGAUUGGAGUAUGGCAGCCACAACCCAAGGAUGCCAGCAGCCACCAGAAACAAAGAGACAAGCACACACUGGGGGUGAGGGGGUGGAGGAGCGGGGAGCAUCAAGAAUAGCUAAUAGAUGCUGGGCUUAAUACUUAGGUGAUGGGAUGAUCUGGGCAGCAAACCACCAUGGCAUACAUUUACCUAUGUAACAAACCUUCACAUCCUGCACAUGUAUCCCUGAAAUAAACAGAGACAAGGACAGAUUCACGCCCAGCCCAUGGGGCAGCCCUAUAAUGCAUGCUGAUUUGGGCCCAGUGAAACUGAUUUUGGGUUUCUGGCCUCCAGAACUGUGAGAGCAUAAAUUUAUGGUUUAAGUCAGCAAGUUCGUGGUAAUUUGUUUCAGCAGCCAAGGGAAACUAAUACAUCAAGAUAGGUACCAUUAUCCCUGUUUUACAGGUAAUGAAACUAAGGCACAAACUGGCAGUUCCAGGGGGAGCCUUGCCCUAAUCCUUUCUACUGUACAGUGAGUGAGGGCUUCUUCCAAAGUCCUUCACAUGAGGGGAGAAAAGCUGAGCCAGAUGUAAGCCACCCUAACUAUUAAUCAAGCAGUUUUUCACUAUACAGUAUUAGCUCCCCUCCAUGGGAAGGCAGUCCCUUCCCAGUGACCAACAUAACAGAUUGGCAACACCCCAUAAAUGGCAAACAUCCCCAAUGCAAAAUACAGCUUUCCACCUAAAAUUGGUGCUUUCUGCUCAAUUAAUAAGCAAAGGACUAGUGCCAGGCAUGAUGGCUCACACUUGUAAUACCAACACUUUGGGAGGCUGAAGUGGGCAGAUCACUUGAGGUCAAGAGUUGGAAACCAGCCUGGCCAACAUGAUAAAACCCCAUCUCUACUAAAAUUACAAAAAUUAGCUGGGUGUGGUGGUGGGCACUUGUAAUCCCAGCUACUGGGGAGGCUGAGGACUGAGAAUCACUUUAACCCAGGAGGCAGAGGUUGCAGUGAGCCAAGAUCACGCCACUGCACUCCAGCCUGGGUGACAGAGCAAGACUCUGUCUUAAAAGCAAUAACAACAACAACAACAAAAUAGUAAUAAUAAAUAACCAAAGGACUUCCUGCUGACCUGCUCUGCUUUGGGCACUCCAAAGUGUUCUGUGGCCUCUGAACCUCAGUUUCCUCAUCCAUAAAAUAGGGAUAAUAAUAUACACCUUAAAGAAUUAUUGUGUCCCAUAUCUGUAAUUCCAGCACUUUGGGAGGCCGAGGUGGGAGGAUUACUUGAGCCCAGGAUUUCAAAACCAGCGUGGGCAACAGAGUUGGACCCCAUCUCUAAACAAAAAGAAAAAUUAGCCAGGCAUGGCGGCAACACACCUAUGAUCCCAUCUACGCGGAUCACUUGAGCCCGGGAGGUUGAGGCUGUGGUGAGCUGUGAUCGCGCCACAGCACUCCAGCCUGGGUGACAAAGUGAGACCUUGUCUUAAAAACUAAAAAAGAAUUAUUGUAAGAAUUUGAAAUAAUACUCAUAAAUAACUAGUAUAGUUCUUAUCAUGUCAGAGGUCCUGGAAAUGGGGCAACUGUCAUUUUUUUUAAUCCUCCUAGUUAGUUUUCUGCUAGUCUCAGACCACCAAGGGGCAUUUUGUUCCCAUCUCUCACAUCCCCCAACUGACCUAUCCUACUUUUUAUCAUUGCACAUGUUACAGGUACUCUGUCCCUUCUCUGUGAGAAGCUAAACUGUUAGAAGAUUCUAAUGGAAAAGAGGAAACUAGGCCACUAGGGCUCAUCACAAAUGGCAUUAGCUAACUGAAAGGAAAGGUACAUGGAAAAUGAUGAGAUCGUAUAUCACAAAAUGUAGGUACAUGCUUCUUUCAUCUAACUUUGGGGCCAGACUGAAAGCAGGAAUGAGGUGGCAGCAUUUCCUAGGAAGGAAAGACGAGCUGGACAAAAGGCAUGGAAAAACUCUCAGCUCAGCAGAAAUUAAGGAGAUGCAAAUAAAAAUUAUAAGGACAUACAUGUUUAUACCUAGGAGACUGCUAGAAGUCUUAAAGUCUGAAAAAAAUCAGAUCUUGGCAAGAAUUUGGGAGUAUAAAUUGAUAUAACCUCUUUGGAAAAUAUGGCCUUACCUAGAAAAAUGGGGCAUGUCCAUAUCCUACUACCCAGCAAUUGCACUGCUAGGAAUAUUCCCCCAGAGAAACUCUUACCCAUGUGCACCAGAAGACUCAAAUAAGAAUUUUCAUGGUUACAUUGUUCAUUAUAACAGAAAUCUAGGAACAACCCAAUGUUUGUCAGUACUAGAAUGGGUAGACAGUUAUGAUAAAUGUAUACAGUGAAACACCAUACAGUUAUGUAAACAAAUGAACUACACCUGCAUGUAUCAACUUGGAUAAAUCUUACGUUGUAAUUUUGAGGGAAAAAUGUAAAUCACAGAAGAAUAUGUAUCCUUGAUGCCAUUAAUAUAAACACUAAAAACCAGGCUAACCUAAAGAGUAUAUUGUUAGGCAUACAUAAAUAGAAUGGUAAGCCUGUAGUAAAAGCAGAGGAUGACAAACACAAAAUAUGAGACCAGUGAGUUCUGAGUGAGUUGGCAGGGCUGCAGCCUGGAGUGUUGGAAUACCUGUAUUACUCAGAGUCCUCCAGAUAAAUAAAUAGGAAACAAGUAGACAGAUAUUUAUUAUAAAGUAUUGUCUCACAUCAUUAUGGAAACUGAGAAGUCCCACAAUCUACCAUCUGCAAGCUGGAGACCCAUGAAAAUGAGUGAAGUAGUUUGAAGCCCUGAGAGCUGAAGAGGUGGUGGUACAGAUGCUGUCUCAAGGCCUGAAAGCAGGGAGAACUGAGAGCAGGGAAAGAUCUAUGGCCCAGCUCAAGUAUUCAGACAGAGAGUGAAUGCAGCCUUCCUCCCCCUUUUUAUUCUCUUCAGGCCCACCAUGGAUUGGAUAAUACCUACCCACAUUGGGGAGGGCCAUUUGCUUUACUCAGUCUAUCCAUUCAAAUGCUAAUCUUGGCUGGGUGUGGUGGCUCACGCCUGUAAUCCUAGCACUUUGGGAGACUGAGGCAGGCAGAUCACUUGAGGUCAGAAGUUUGAGACCAACCUGGCUAACAUAGCAAAACCCCGUCUCUACUAAAAAUACAAAAAUUAGCUGGGCAUGGUGGUGCACGCCUGUAGUCCCAGCUUGGGAGGCUGAGGUAGAGGAAUUGCUUGAACCCAGGAGGCGGAGGUUGCAGUGAGCCAAGGUUGCACCACUGCACUCCAGCCUGGGCAACAGAGCAAGACUCCAUCUCAAAAAAAUAAAAACAAAUGCUAAUCUCUUCCAGGAAUGCCCUCACACACCCAGACAUAAUGUUUAACCAGCUACCUGGGUACCCAUUAGCCCAGUCAAGUUGGUACAUAAAAUUAACCAACAC
rnacentral:lncRNA from 10 species